rnacentral:rRNA from 1 species
UACGUAGGCCGCGAGCGUUGUUCGGAGUUACUGGGCGUAAAGGGUGUGUAGGCGGUUUUCUAAGUUUGGUGUGAAAUCUCCCGGCUUAACCGGGAGGGUGCGCCGAAAACUGGGAGACUAGAGUGCGGGAUGGGAGAGUAGAAUUCCUGGUGUAGCGGUGAAAUGCGUAGAUAUCAGGAGGAAUACCGGUGGUGUAGACGGCUCUCUGGACCGCAACUGACGCUGAGACACGAAAGCGUGGGGAGCAAACAGG